rnacentral:rRNA from 1 species
CCAAUAGCGUAUAUUAAAGUUGCUGCAGUUAAAAAGCUCGUAGUUGAAUUUCGGAACCAAUAUGUUGGUUGUGCCUCGGUACGUACUGGCAUUGUUGGUUUCUCCCUUCUGACGAACUAUGAUGUCAUUAAUUUGGUGUCAUGGGGAAUCAGGACUGUUACUUUGAAAAAAUUAGAGUGUUUAAAGCAGGCUCACGCUUGAAUACAUUAGCAUGGAAUAAUGAAAUAGGACGUUUGAUUCUAUUUUGUUGGUUUCUAGGAUUGACGUAAUGAUUAAUAGG